CACUUUCAACAACGGAUCUCUUGGUUCUG
rnacentral:rRNA from 1 species